rnacentral:rRNA from 1 species
AACGAACGCUGGCGGCGUGGAUUAGGCAUGCAAGUCGAACGCGAAAGAGGGAGCAAUCCCUCGAGUAGAGUGGCGAACGGGUGAGUAACGCGUGAAGAACCUGCCUCCAACAGGGGGAUAACACUCCCAACGGGGUGGCUAAUACCGCAUGAGACCACGGGGUCGGCAUGGCCCUGAGGUCAAAGGUGGCCUCUAUUUAUAAGCUACCGGUUGAAGAUGGCUUCGCGUCCCAUUAGCAGUUGGCGGUGUAAAAGACCACCAAGGCGACGAUGGGUAGCUGGUCUGAGAGGAUGGUCAGCCACACUGGGACUGAGAUACGGUCCGGACACCUACGGGUGGCUGCAGCAACGAAUAUUCCGCAAUGGACGCAAGUCUGACGGAGCGACGCCGCGUGCAGGAUGAAGUCCCUCGGGAUGUAAACUGCUGUCAGGGGUGAGGAAUAAGUUGACCAACCCAGAGGAAGCAUCGGCUAACUCCGUGCCAGCAGCCGCAGUAA